AAGGAGCACGGAGACACAGCGCUGCGUGUCGCCGACUACGUGACGAUACAGGACUAUUUCGGCGACUGUCUUUCGGAGACUAAUGCAAGUCGAGCGUUCACCACUGCCAUGGCAACGGGCAUGGAUAAUGUCACCAACAACUGCGACUGGAGCAUUCAUAAGGACCUCAACGUUAGACCGAGGACGGAGGAUUUUUUUCAAGUGGGCUGGCAGACGAAAUACGUCGCUGCCAGCAAUGUCACCAAGGUUGUUGACA